UACGUAGGGUGCAAGCGUUAAUCGGAAUUACUGGGCGUAAAGCGUGCGCAGGCGGUUAUGCAAGACAGAGGUGAAAUCCCCGGGCUCAACCUGGGAAUUGCGCUUGUGACUGCAAAGCUGGAGUGCGGCAGAGGGGGAUGGAAUUCCGCGUGUAGCAGUGAAAUGCGUAGAUAUGCGGAGGAACACCAAUGGCGAAGGCAAUCCCCUGGGCCUGUACUGACGCUCAUGCACGAAAGCGUGGGGAGCAAACAGG
rnacentral:rRNA from 1 species